rnacentral:rRNA from 1 species
UUUUGUGGAGGGUUCGAUUCUGGCUCAGGAUGAACGCUGGCGGCGUGCUUAACACAUGCAAGUCGAACGGGAUCCAUCGGGCUUUGCUUGGUGGUGAGAGUGGCGAACGGGUGAGUAAUGCGUGACCGACCUGCCCCAUGCACCGGAAUAGCUCCUGGAAACGGGUGGUAAUGCCGGAUGCUCCAUCACACUGCAUGGUGUGUUGGGAAAGC